UUGUUCUCCGGGGGAUCUUCCCAAACCAGGGAUCAAACUCGCAUCUCCUGUGUCUCUUGCAUUGCAGGCAGAUUCUUUACCACUGUGACACCUGGGAAGCCCAAGCCACGUGCUACCCCACACUUAACGCACUGCAUCCAAUACCCUCCCACCAAGCACCGAGCAUGAGUCUCCCACUGUGCACCAGGAAUGGGCACAUCCAGAAAAAGCCGUAUGAAAAAUCCCAAGGAAAUGCCACAGCAUAGGUCCUAAUCCCUGCCUGUUCUCCCAGCCAGUUCUGUGGAUCCUAACAAACUUCUGGACUUCUCUGGGCCUCCAUUAACUCACUGGAGAAAUGAGGCUUAAUGGGGACAGAUGAAGAAAAACUCUUCAACAAAGGGAAAAACAUUUUUCAAAGGAGUAGAAUGCCGGACCAGAUGGUAGCUACCUAGCACUGAUGAGAUGCUUCCAAAGUUUGCCCCAGGAGAGGGCACUGAAGCAACUUAUUACCUUGGAGGCAAGAAGAAGCAAAGCAGAGAACGUGAACGUGUCAAAGAAACAGUGGGCUAUAGAUCUUGCUAUAUGCCAACUUCACAAAGCACUGAAACGUCUACCCUGGGACUUGACUUCUAACUAACUGUGUGAUCUCAGAUAAGCUCCCCAAACUGCUCUGAGCCUCAGUUUCCUUGUCAGUAAAACGGAGGUAACACACCUGUCCAGCUUGCAUCGUGCUACAGUGCUGCUUUGAGCAUCAAAUGAAAGAAAGCUUGUGAACUGUUUUGUAGGCCAAUAAUUACACAAAUGUAGUGGUAACGGUAAUAAGAAAAUGACUGGAAGUCUAAACAGAAUUUCAGACCUCCAUAAACUACACGUGCCUCCUCCAAAGACCCGGGGCUGCCUCCCCAGAAAGUCAGUGCUAUCAUUUAAGCAUUUCUCUCAAGUGCUCAGGAAUCGUUCCUUCUGAUUCCACAUGACAGAGUCACCCAGGGCUCUCCCUCCCAAAGGAAGCACCUGGAGAGGUGGAUCCUCAAAGGCCACACAUGAACUGAAGCUAAAACCUGGGUCUGAACUAUUGGGAAAAUAUGAGCGCUUUAAUCCACGCAUUUGAAAGCAUUAAUUAAUGAUCCCAUCCCUGCUUCUUCCU